CCGAAAGGAAAUUCUGUCCUCCACACCAGCGAUCUCUUCGCCGAUUUUAAGCUAGCUAAACAAGGGGCAUAUACACCAAUUGCAGCUCCUCACCGAACCGAACCCUUGCUCUUCUCUCUAUCUUCUCUAAUAUUUCUCUUGUCUUCGUCAGAUCUACCGUCUCUCUCUCUCUCUCUCUCUCUCUCUCUCUCUCUCUCUCUCUCUCUGAUCAUUAGAUCCUCAAAAGACAGUGAGCUUUUUUCUAAUUUUUUUCCACUUAUGGUUUUUUUUCCUCAAUUUUUAGUGCUUAAUCUAUUUUAAUAUGAAUCUAGCUUAUGUCUCUCGAUUCUGAGAGAUUUCGUUGGAUUUUGAUCCGAUUCUUCCUGAUAGAUCUGUUUUCCUUUCAGAUCUCAUUGUUUGGAGCUUUGCUUUUUUAUUUUUGUUUUGAGCUGAUGAUGCAUAUUUCCUUCCUUUUCGAUUUUUUUUCUCAGUUUGAUUAUUCAUUUGAAGAAGUUACUUAGAUUUACAGUUGGCAUUAUUUGAGGACAAAGGAAGGGUUUUAACUUGCAAUCAGUGCAACACCAUCUCGUUUAUACCAAACCAACAACUUGGAACACAUGAGCUCCUGUUCAUAUUUUAAUGGGCUGUCUUGUAAUCUUCUGAUUGCCAUAAUCCACGUAUGGGCGACGGUCCACUUAGAU